rnacentral:rRNA from 1 species
UUGCCUCAGUAACGGCGAGUGAAGCGGCAAAAGCUCAAAUUUGAAAUCCAGUGCCCGUAGGGUAACUCGAGUUGUAAUUUGAAGAAGGCGACUUUGGACUUGGCCCCUGCCUAUGUUCCUUGGAACAGGACGUCACAGAGGGUGAGAAUCCCGUGUGGCGGGGAGACCCGAGUCUGUGUAAAGUGUCUUCGAAGAGUCGAGUUGUUUGGGAAUGCAGCUCUAAGUGGGUGGUAAAUUCCAUCUAAAGCUAAAUAUUGGCGAGAGACCGAUAGCGAACAAGUACAGUGAUGGAAAGAUGAAAAGAACUUUGAAAAGAGAGUGAAAAAGUACGUGAAAUUGUUGAAAGGGAAGGGUAUUAGAUCAGACUUGGCGCUCCACGAUUACCCGCCCCUUGUGGGUGGUGCACUCGUGGGUGCGCUGGGCCAGCAUCGAUUCGGACGGUAGGAUAAUGGCAAGUUUGAAUGUGGCAGCCGCCUUUGUGUGGUUGUGUUUAUAGCGCUUGCAGAUGCUGCCUGGCCGGAUCGAGGGCUGCGUCUUUUCUUUAGACUA